AAAUGGAUAGCUCAGCUUGGUAGAGCAUCAGACUUAUAAUCUGAUUGUCAAAGGUUCGAAUCCUUUUCCAACCGCCG
rnacentral:tRNA from 1 species